GACGAACGCUGGCGGCGUGCCUAACACAUGCAAGUCGAACGGAGUUGAAAGGAGCUUGCUUUUUUCAACUCAGUGGCGGACGGGUGAGUAACGCGUGAGUAACCUGCCUUUCAGAGGGGGAUAACGUUCUGAAAAGAACGCUAAUACCGCAUAAGAUUGUAGUUUCGCAUGGAGCAGCAAUCAAAGGAGCAAUCCGCUGAAAGAUGGACUCGCGUCCGAUUAGAUAGUUGGCGGGGUAACGGCCCACCAAGUCGACGAUCGGUAGCCGGACUGAGAGGUUGAUCGGCCACAUUGGGACUGAGACACGGCCCAGACUCCUACGGGAGGCAGCAGUGAGGGAUAUUGGGCAAUGGGGGAAACCCUGACCCAGCAACGCCGCGUGAGGGAUGACGGUUUUCGGAUUGUAAACCUCUGUCCUCUGUGAAGAUAGUGACGGUAGCAGAGGAGGAAGCUCCGGCUAACUACGUG
rnacentral:rRNA from 1 species